GUGUCAGCCGCCGCGGUAAUACGUAGGGAGCAAGCGUUGUUCGGAAUCACUGGGCGUAAAGGGAGCGUAGGUGGGAGGAUAAGUUAGAAGUUAAAUGUGCAGGCUUAACCUGUAAUCUGCUUUUAAUACUGUCCUUCUUGAGUAUGGGAGAGGAUAACGGAAUUCCAGGUGUAGCGGUGGAAUGCGUAGAUAUCUGGAAGAACACCAGUUGCGAAGGCGGUUAUCUGGCCCAAUACUGACACUGAGGCUCGAAAGCUAGGGGAGCAAACAGGAUUAGAUACCCUGGUAGUCCUAGCCGUAAACGAUGUACACUAGUUGUUGGAGGAGUCAAUCCUUUCAGUGACGAAGCUAACGCAUUAAGUGUACCGCCUGGGAAGUACGCUCGCAAGGGUGAA
rnacentral:rRNA from 1 species